CCGUGGAAAGGGAAGCACCCUGCACAGUGGCGUCAUCAUUCAUCUAUUUCUGGGUGUUACCUUUUCCACAUGUACGUGGGAGUGAGAGCAGGAGGUGGCAUUGGUGAUGAAAUUGAAGACCCUGCUGGUGAUCCUUAUGAAAUGUAUCG
rnacentral:sRNA from 1 species